AACACAUGCAAGUCGCCCGCCCCGCAAGGGGAGUGGCAGACGGGUGAGUAACGCGUGGGAAUCUACCCAAUUCUUCGGAACAACACAUGGAAACGUGUGCUAAUACCGGAUGAGCCCUUCGGGGGAAAGAUUUAUCGGAAUUGGAUGAGCCCGCGUUGGAUUAGCUAGUUGGUGGGGUAAAGGCCUACCAAGGCGACGAUCCAUAGCUGGUCUGAGAGGAUGAUCAGCCACACUGGGACUGAGACACGGCCCAGACUCCUACGGGAGGCAGCAAGUGUGAAUAUUGGACAAUGGGCGCAAGCCUGAUCCAGCCAUGCCGCGUGAGUGAUGAAGGUCUUAGGAUUGUAAAGCUCUUUCACCGGUGAAGAUAAUGACGGUAACCGGAGAAGAAGCCCCGGCUAACUUCGUGCCAGCAGCCGCGGUAAUACGAAGGGGGCUAGCGUUGUUCGGAUUUACUGGGCGUAAAGCGCACGUAGGCGGACUUUUAAGUCAGGGGUGAAAUCCCGGGGCUCAACCCCGGAAGCGCCUUUGAUACUGGGAGUCUUGAGUUCGAGAGAGGAGAGUGGAAUUGCGAGU
rnacentral:rRNA from 1 species